UACGAAGGGGGCUAGCGUUGCUCGGAAUCACUGGGCGUAAAGCGCACGUAGGCGGAUCUUUAAGUCAGGGGUGAAAUCCUGGAGCUCAACUCCAGAACUGCCUUUGAUACUGGGGAUCUCGAGUCCGGAAGAGGUGAGUGGAACUCCGAGUGUAGAGGUGAAAUUCGUAGAUAUUCGGAAGAACACCAGUGGCGAAGGCGGCUCACUGGUCCGGUACUGACGCUGAGACGCGAAAGCGUGGGGAGCAAACAGG
rnacentral:rRNA from 1 species